UGGUCGCAAGCCAAACAAAAAAAAUAAGGGUAAAUAAAAAUAACGAAAGAAAUAGUUCAAAAAGUACGCGCGCUUGCAAAAGCUUUGAAAAGGUACAGCGAACCUUUUUCAGUGCUUGCAGCGCUGCAUUGAGAGCUUUCGGUGGGUGCCGAAAAGUUGUCGCGCACGCGCAACAGCUGAUCUUGUCGCGCUGUGCGAAUUCUGCAGCGACAAAUAUUAGUGCAGCCAACUUUAGGGGCAAUAAAACCUGUAAGCUUUUAUCUACCCAAAGCUAUAUAAGCCGAAAAAGUGCAAAAUUGAGCCCUUUUUCUAGAACUCCACGUUGCGACUUUACACUAAAUCCAUAUAUAUAUAUGUAUAUAAUAUAUAUACAUAUAUGGUGAGGAACUCGUGCGCUGCAAUAAUUAAUAAAGCGCAGCAACAAAUUUUUCUUGACGCCCGUGUCAAAUUUGGGCACGGCAAUAUAGAAAAGCCUGCCCUAGACACGGGCUCUGUUUUAAUUUUUUUGGCCCAUCAAGAUCGAUCGCAGCAACUUUAUCGAAAGGCUGGAGGAACUUCAACAGCAGGCGGGGGAAACACAAACGUGAAUCGUGGCUCAUAAAUUGCAUAGUGACAAUUAAACCUAUAAAACUUUUAACCCCAAAAACUCUAAGCCGCGAAAAUCUAAAAGUGGAAAAAAAAAAAACUACACACAGUCAAGAACAAAAACUCUAGUUCUACCAUAAUCAACUAAACGAAAAAAAAAAAAAGAACAAAAACCACACUUCAAUUACAUAUGUGACGUACACUGUAAAAAUUUUGCUACUAGCAACUAAAAUAGUUCACCAAAUUAAAAGAAGAAAAA